GAUGAACGCUGGCGGCGUGCCUAAUACAUGCAAGUCGAGCGAAUGGAUUAAGAGCUUGCUCUUAUGAAGUUAGCGGCGGACGGGUGAGUAACACGUGGGUAACCUGCCCAUAAGACUGGGAUAACUCCGGGAAACCGGGGCUAAUACCGGAUAACAUUUUGAACCGCAUGGUUCGAAAUUGGAAGGCGGCUUCGGCUGUCACUUAUGGAUGGACCCGCGUCGCAUUAGCUAGUUGGUGAGGUAACGGCUCACCAAGGCAACGAUGCGUAGCCGACCUGAGAGGGUGAUCGGCCACACUGGGACGGAGACACGGCCCAGACUACUACGGGAGGCAGCAGUAGGGAAUCUUCCGCAAUGGACGAGAGUCUGACGGAGCAACGCCGCGUGAGUGAGGAAGGCUUUCGGGUCGUAAAACUCUGUUGUUAGGGAAGAACAAGUGCUAGUUGAAUAAGCUGGCACCUUGACGGUACCUAACCAGAAAGCCACGGCUAACUACGUGCCAGCAGCCGCAGUAA
rnacentral:rRNA from 1 species